CCUGUGACUUCACACCUUUGUGCACUCAGCUAAAUGUUUCUGCGGGAGUUAUUUUUACUUUUAGCAGACAUGAUAUUUUGAGACGCCAGAAUAUUCUAGCCAUGACAGUUAAAACACAUAUCCUGUGUUUGCACCAUUUUGUGUCUCUGCAUGUCUAGAACAAAUAUAAAGUACUUGCAAGUUACAGCACAAUAUGAUGCAUGAUCCCCAGAAAUGUAAUGGGUUGUUUAUAAUUUCUCAUUUUAUUGGAUGAUUAUUGUUAUUGUAUGCUGACUCUUGCAUUAAAGAGAUCAUUAAACAGCUCAUUUUAGAGCAUAUUUGUUGUCAUUAAAGGAACAGUAGCUUGGAAAUGUCUGCCAUCAGAAAUGAUGAUAAAGAGGCACUUCAUAUUGAUAUUAAACAACGAUUAAACACUGGUUGGAUCAGUGUACCUUAAAAUAUAUUGUAAAUUCCACUGCUAAAGCUCAUUACAGCUUUUUUAUUAUUGCUAGAAACAGGUGUCCUAUUUGGAACCACAUUGACACCAUUGGAAGGGUGUCCUUUUUAACUCUGUGCCAGCAUAUGCAACAGAUGGCUCAUAUUUCAUUACCCUAUUUUAAUACAUUUGGUUCAUUCUAACCUUUAAUUAAUUAUUUAAAGCUUUAUUUUAAUAAAAAGUCCCCCAUGGAUAGCUUGCACCAGUUGUAACCAAUGGCAGAGCUUGGCAGCUGGCCUGUUUGGAGCCUGUCUGCGCCCUCAGCUGCCUCCAGACGUGACAGUCGGCUCUCUGUAUAGACUAUCUGACUGUUGGAAGCCUGAAAUAUUUGAAUGUCAUUGGGGGAGGUCAUCUGUGGCUUGAGGAGGGGGCAGGUCAAUAGGGGUUCAUAUAUGCUUCUGCAAUGUAGCAAGUGGAGACUUGCAUUAUAUGGUGGCCAAAUGGCCCUUUUUGAGGCUCCAGGGCCAUCUGUACACCAAUUUAAAUGGUAUAGUCCAAUUUGAACACCCCUCCAUAUUGAGCUAAAAUGGAAGAGCCUCUUUUGCAGUGUUUGCUGGGAAGAAGAAGUACAGUCGGGAUUGGGACUUUGGAGAGGAGGUAGCAAUCUGAAGAGAUCCUUGGGAAAAAAAGAAAACAAGAUCUCCAUUUGGGACAUCCAGUUUUUCUCACUGCAACCAUUGCUGUGGUAUGAGUCACUCCCACACCCUACCCUUAUAUGGCAAAGAGGGGAGGGGCUGUUUCUCAGACCGGACAGUGAAAUGGUGGCUGCUUGUACAAAAACAGCAGCAGCACCAUUAGGAACCAAGCAGCUACAGACGCAUUUACAGAAUCAGCCAAGACUGAAAGCCUAGAAGAA
rnacentral:lncRNA from 1 species